rnacentral:misc_RNA from 1 species
UGUUGAAGCUGGAAGGGUUUGGGUG